rnacentral:rRNA from 1 species
CCUACGGGGGGCAGCAGUGAGGAAUAUUGGUCAAUGGUCGGGAGACUGAACCAGCCAAGCCGCGUGAGGGAUGAAGGUACAGAGUAUCGUAAACCUCUUUUGUCAGGGAACAAAGGCGGGGACGUGUCCCCGGAUGAGUGUACCUGAAGAAAAAGCAUCGGCUAACUCCGUGCCAGCAGCCGCGGUAAUACGGAGGAUGCGAGCGUUAUCCGGAUUUAUUGGGUUUUAAGGGUGCGCAGGCGGUCUGUUAAGCGUGCUGUGAAAUGUCCGGGCUCAACCCGGGCCUUGCAGCGCGAACUGGCGUG